UGCAGUCGAGCGGGGGAGAUUGCUUCGGUAAUUGACCUAGCGGCGGACGGGUGAGUAAUACUUAGGAAUCUGCCUAUUAAUGGGGGACAACAUCUCGAAAGGGAUGCUAAUACCGCAUACGCCCUACGGGGGAAAGCAGGGGAUCACUUGUGACCUUGCGUUAAUAGAUGAGCCUAAGUCGGAUUAGCUAGUUGGUGGGGUAAAGGCCUACCAAGGCGACGAUCUGUAGCGGGUCUGAGAGGAUGAUCCGCCACACUGGGACUGAGACACGGCCCAGACUCCUACGGGAGGCAGCAGUGGGGAAUAUUGGACAAUGGGGGGAACCCUGAUCCAGCCAUGCCGCGUGUGUGAAGAAGGCCUUAUGGUUGUAAAGCACUUUAAGCGAGGAGGAGGCUCUCUUGGUUAAUACCCAAGAUGAGUGGACGUUACUCGCAGAAUAAGCACCGGCUAACUCUGUGCCAGCAGCCGCGGUAAUACAGAGGGUGCGAGCGUUAAUCGGAUUUACUGGGCGUAAAGCGUGCGUAGGCGGCUUUUUAAGUCGGAUGUGAAAUCCCCGAGCUUAACUUGGGAAUUGCAUUCGAUACUGGGAAGCUAGAGUAUGGGAGAGGAUGGUAGAAUUCCAGGUGUAGCGGUGAAAUGCGUAGAGAUCUGGAGGAAUACCGAUGGCGAAGGCAGCCAUCUGGCCUAAUACUGACGCUGAGGUACGAAAGCAUGGGGAGCAAACAGGAUUAGAUACCCUGGUAGUCCAUGCCGUAAACGAUGUCUACUAGCCGUUGGGGCCUUUGAGGCUUUAGUGGCGCAGCUAACGCGAUAAGUAGACCGCCUGGGGAGUACGGUCGCAAGACUAAAACUCAGAUGAAUUGACGGGGGCCCGCACAAGCGGUGGAGCAUGUGGUUUAAUUCGAUGCAACGCGAAGAACCUUACCUGGUCUUGACAUAGUAAGAACUUUCCAGAGAUGGAUUGGUGCCUUCGGGAACUUACAUACAGGUGCUGCAUGGCUGUCGUCAGCUCGUGUCGUGAGAUGUUGGGUUAAGUCCCGCAACGAGCGCAACCCUUUUCCUUAUUUGCCAGCACUUCGGGUGGGAACUUUAAGGAUACUGCCAGUGACA
rnacentral:rRNA from 1 species